CAUUAAUUGUGCCAAGAAAUACAGAGAGACCCAUAACAAAACUCAGGAUGCAAGUAAAGUUUUGAGUUUUGUUGCUUAAUUUCAUCUUUCCCCACAUAAAUUAUACUGCAGUACAUAUUCCUAACCCUCUAAAAUAACACUAAUUUUCUGAAGUAUUUGCUUCCUUAUGUAUUAGCCACACGUUCUAUUUUUAUCUCAGUGGUGAAUCCAAGAAGUCAAAUUACCCAUUACUAAUGGUCAUGUGGCUGCAAUGGCUGAGAGUCCAGAAAAUGCAGAGAAAUGUCUGAAAAUGUCUUUGGGAAAGUACAAGAAAAGCAGAAGUGUGUGCACUCUGCAGUAAAUGAUUAGAUGAAGUAAUCUAGAUACAUAUUUUUUUUGAAAGCUCUUUAAAGAGAAACAUUAAUGACGAUUCUCUUUAUGGAUUUUCAUUCUGGCACUGCUUAUUCAUCUAACUUGAAACUACAUUACACAGUCACAUUACUCAGACUCCAACAGUGAUACAUACAAGAGCAAAUGCACACCAGCUUGUGUUGCGGCCAUGAAAAAGGAUCUUCUUUGGUUGAUUCUCUUUUGCUUUUCGUUUACUCAUCAUUCAUUACUCUGGUGGUUUGCCUCUCCAGUGACUUUUUCCUGUACAAAUGACAUUCCAAGUCUUAAGUCAACCAGGUGCCCAGGUGCUUCCUCUCCCCUACCUUUGAAUAACAUCCCCUGAAAGCCAGGGAGCACAUAGGAUACCUCAUCAUUUUCUUGGAGUCCAGGUGAAUCAGCUUCAGUAUCUAAGCAUGUACAAUGCAGAAGGAUGGAGGUGUGCUGGGUGUCAUCCUAGUACACAUCAACAGGAAAUGAGUUUGAUUCAGCUGACAACACCGACAGCUAAUGUCUUUUGAGAUAUGUUAUUUAUCCGAGACAUCUGUUUGAAGAUAACAAAUAUGACACAGAUUAUGGCAGACCCAAGCCCUUCUGAAGUUACUGGACAUUAAGUGAAAUGAUUUAGCCCAAGGGAAUUAGUUACCUGCAUUUGAACAAAUGAAUUAAGAUGUGUUCAGUACAACCUGUGAGUGCUGAAUGUGAUUGACUUGAUGAUAAAAUAUAUCCUUCAGCUUAUCUGCAGAAAAGCUGCAGAUCUCUGUCAAUAUAAUCCUAGCUCCUGAUUCACUAUGAGUCUAUAGAUGUCUAUAUGAGCUCUUUUUCAAGUGCUUAACUAUUCAGCCAAUUAGAUUCAACCCAGGACAUUACUUUAAAAUAUAGUCACAGAUAUUGGCAUUUCAGAGGAAUAUGUUCUCAUUGCAUGUUAGAAUUGAGACAAAAGAUGGUCAGUCACCUAAUGAGAUCUUUAAAAGUCUGUGUAAACAAUGCAAAAGAGUAGGAUCAAAUCACUUCCACUAGUGGUUUUUGGGUUUUAAUGACAUAUCAGGGUUAAAAUAAAACUUGGAGCAAGAGUCCCUUGUGUCUCCAUCCCUAACACCCACUCCAGCCCUUGAGUUACUUAAUUCCAUUCCCAGAGAGCAAUAAAAAUUGAAAAAAAAAUACAAUCUGUUAGGAAAAAGAAGGAAAAAGAAAAGCUUUUUUCUGCCUUCUCUUGUUCUCUAUAAAAGAAUGAACAUUAGUUCACGAUCUUAAAUAUCUGUCACCACAUCAUCUAUCUUGCUUGAGUAUCAAGACACGGUUAGUGGGUAAUAAAUGCCCUCUAACUGAAAGAGAAGGAAUACCCCAUGUACCAAACUGUCAGAGAAUUUUCUGCUUCAUGCAACAUUUUAUUAUGUUAAGUAAGUCUAUAUAGUUUUCACCAGAGGUUGUUUGUUUAACCUCUGCC
ensembl:lncRNA